AUUGAUCUCCUAUCGGACCGAUACGUAUUACCCGUAUCGAGCGGUAUAUCACGGUAUUGACUGAUACGUAUUUUUCUCAAGGUUCACCUUGAGAAAAAUAAACUUGUACGCAUUUUCAAAAAAAAAAAUCAAAAAAAUAUUCCAAAAAUUACAGUAGUUUGACAAAAUUUUACUAACAAAAUACAUUUCUGCUUAUCUGAUAUUGAAAUAAAAAUAUGAACAAGAUUACCAAAAAAAUUGGACUAAUAAAUUUGAUCUAACCAACUCGAGGGUAGACAAGCUAAACAAUUAACCGAGACUCAGAUUAUUUGAACUCUCAAAUCAGAUUAAUCAAAAUUGAAGAUAAGGACAGUGAAGGUAUACCGUCCCAUUGAAAUCCAAUGAUAAGUGCCAUAAAAUCUAAAGAAAAUUAGCAAUCAAUUUCUUGGUACACAUUAUGCAGUAAAAUGUACUUGAAAAGUUAGAUGAUUGAAUAUAAACAACAAUGUGAUAAAAAGUAAAUGAUCUAGAUCUUAGUAGUAUUAUAAUACAACAAAGAGAAAACUCAAGUUUGCAAGCCCCCAUUAACUAUGUAUUUUUAUAAUUAACUAUUGCAUCAGUGAUGAUAAAUUGGUAAUCAUCCUAUUCAGUGAAUGAUACAAAUAAGGUUUUCCAUCAUUGUUUGUGCUCAGUCAAACAUCGAUUUGUAGCAGCAAUAUAAAAUAGAAUGAAGACAAUAUAAGUAAACAAUGAAAAUCUAGUUUAAGCACCAGAAGAGUAAUUCUCAUUUACGAUUGAAACUAUGAUAUCUGGAGUUAAAGUAAUAUAUUUUUUUUAUUUCGAACUUCACAAAAGAUUCUCAAUUGUAAAUUGGGACAAUUUAUGCUAAUAACAAUUUACAAAUGUCUCAGAGGAGCUUACGGUGAACUGAUCAGGACGGCGUUCGACUGAUGCAAGAAAUUGUAACCUCAUUGCCAUAACAAUUUUGUACUCCUUAAGCAACACAUAACAUGACCAAAAGGUAAAGACAUAUGCCAUAACCAAAUGGACCCAAAACCUGUAAUGAAAAUAAGCAUACAUUAUACAAGUAAUAAACAUCAUCAUUCGACAGAAUAAAAGUAAAAAAAGAGGGAAGAAAUGUGACUGCUUUGACCAGUGAAAACAAAUCAAAGAGUAAUAGGUUGGAAAACAGAAUAAAGGGGGUUGUAUUUAUGAUAGAAACCGCAAAAAUGAAAUUACAGAAUUUAAUUCCAAAUGUUUGAUGUGAAAUUUGGCAAAGCUCCCGAACCAUUAAAAUCUGCAAAGUGCAAACAUCUGGCCAGCAAGUUUAUCCAUAUCCUUUGUCACACAAAGUGAUUAAUACAUACAUCUUUGGGUGGUAUAAAUUGUCUCCGAUGCCACAUAAACUAGCAUAAGUUUGAAGAAGUCCUAUGCUUCCACCAUCACCAUACUAUCAAAACCCACAUCUAAUUUAAAAUAAGGUUCGUCGUACCAUGACAUACCGGUCCGAUAGGAGAUUAGUAUUGAUAUUCUGAUAGUACAUACCAAUUUAUUGGUAUACCCCACCGUACCAUGUGUUGGUACGUUAGUACUGUUCGAUACAUACUAUACCGAUGGCUAAUCAACACACCAAUACGGAUCGAUAAGACGAACUAUGAUUUAAAAAAAUAAUUUUUUUUAAUAAUAAUGCUGUGUUUUGCAUGUUAAUCAUUCUCCAAGUUUGGGGCACUUGUUUAUAAAUCUGACACCAUGGCUGGUUUAUUGUAAUUUGCCUUGACAAAUGCAUGCAAAAACUAAAGAAAUAUUCCACUACCAAACAUGUUCAUCAAAUAAUUUAGAAAUCAGUAAUACAGAAACUGAAUUUAACUAGUAAUUCGCUCACUGACAAAAUUCUACUUGCUUACCUCUGUGACCCUGCAGGAACAUUUGAUAUGGAGAGAUGGUCUAUGUUACUGUACUGAAUGCUGUUUAAAUUUUUCAGAGUGCUAUUUGUCCAGUUGACAGGUACAAGAACAAAGAAUGCCAGGAUAGUGAUGGGAAUAAAAAUUUUAAGCCUGUAAAAGAGGGGGAAAAAAAUAGAUGAGCACCACAAAGAAAUGACACAAAACAACUAUCAGAAUAUACAAAAAGUAUUGAAAUUUAGAAAAGCAAUAAAUGUGAAUUGUUGAUCCUUUAAUAUCAUAGUGUUAUCAUAAACUGGCAUCAUCUUUUCAUUUGGAAAAAAGAAAGAAAGCAUCUGAGUAAGGAUCAUUUAUCAAUCAAGAGGAACCCAUAACAAGCCAAAGAAAAACUAGGAUAACAUAUAAGGAUGGAAAUGUUGCAGGUAGAAACAAGCAAACAUGAACUGGACACAACUCAUACAAACCCUAUCCAAGAUAUUGCCACGUUGGACCAUUGGUCAUGUUAUCGAAGAACAAGCGAAAGAUAAAAUGGAGCAAUAUUGCAGUCGUAAAUCAUUUUAAAAUUCCAUUACUCGGAUUUCUUUGUAGGAAAGUUAUUUAAGGUUGAAGACAUUCCGAGGUGCCAAAGUCUAAAGUAUAGCGAUAUAAGAGGUUUACGAGGCCUUAGAAGUAAAAGUUCAUUCAAAGAGAAACAAAAUAGAGUUGACAUAUACAUCAUUAAUAUUAAAUUAUUAUGUGGAACCAUUUUAAUUUAUUUUCAUUUGAAUAAAUGUCCUAAUUUAUCACCCAAAAGCAUCUUCAAUAUUUCUAAUUUAGUUUCCUAAAUUAUUAAGAAGAAAAAGCAAAUAAUGGUAAAAUAGAUAACCCAAAAUUUGAUUUCAGUAAAUCCUGAUCAAAGAUUUUAAUCUCUAUAGGGAAGUGUCAUCACCCUACAAAGAUGCAAGCCUAUUAGUUAGAAAAUUCAUCAGGAGAAAGAUUGUUCUCAAAAUACAAAAACAUAUCUUCUUUAGAAAAAGGAAAGAGUAAAUUACUUUAUGCAAGCACAUAAUAAAGAAAAAUGAAGUCUCCUUGAUGGUAUAGGAUUUAAUACACCUCAAACGAAACAUGCUAAAUGAAAAAGUAAUUGAAUCAAGUAUAGAAUACCCGAUCAAGUAUAUCCUCAAGAAAACAGCUGAAUCAAGUCCUGCAUGCUCUAUCAAUUCAAGUUCAGACAUUUUAAGGGCAGCUGGCAUCCAUUCCAGAAAUCUCAAGUACGACCUCGGAUUUAAAUUGAUGAACUUAUGGAUGAAUGUUCCUGAGUGGGUUCUGCUGCUUCUUUCACCGUUAAGAUACCACUUGGUGAAGUAAACUCUGCCGUUUAUUGGCUGCAGCCUUAAUAGAGCAAAUGCCAUGAGGAAUCCUAAGGCACUUAAUAUGUUCAUGGCUGCUGCGACUCCUAUGUCAGUGAAUGUAGCCAUAACUACCUCCUGCAAGUUCCCUGAAGACAUGUAUAAUUUGGAUGCAUCAAAGAGGAUAAUGCAUUACGAUGACAAUGAACCAAACUAAAGAAAGCACACCAUUCGCAGAAUAAACAAGUCAAAAAGAUUUUUUUAAUUUAAUUUGAUUUCAAUUUUUUUAUUUUUUAACUAAAAUUUAAAACCAAUUGAUUUAACAAUUUAGAACAUGUAAUAUCACAAUGAAACACAAGAUUAAAUAUCAAAGUUAUAUUGUUAACACUUAAAUGCUUAACUACUUAUCUAUUAGAACAUGAAAUAAAAUUCUAAAUUUUUAAUAUCACAAUCUCAAAUUUUAAACCAUGAACAGCUAAAAAUUUCUCACACAAACAGUAUAGAUGAAAUACUAAAAUAUGCAUGAUUAAAUAUAAAAAUCAUGAGAUCCAUAAUUAAGUUCAUAUUUGAUUACUUAAUCAUAAAACAAAAACCCUAAACGUCAUAAAAUCUGAAUUUAAAUAAGAAUAUUAUGAAGUCUCUCAAGAACAAUAUAGUUCAAAAGGUAAAAAGAUAUGCAUGAACAACAAAAAUUUAAACACAAGUAUCAUGAAUCAUUAAUUAAGUCUCAAUAAAAGAUAUGAAUCAUUAACAUAACUAUAAUCUUUAAAAUCAUGAACCAGCAACAUAAUGAAUUAAAAAUUUUGAAAAUAAAGGGAAUAGACAAAAGGAAAAAUCGGAGAACCUACCUCUUCCGAAGAUCUUCCUCUCUCACAGUCACCUUGUUGCGGCAAUUAACGAACAGGGGUCUACCUAUUAUUAAAUUAAAGAAGGGAGGGUUUCCCACUAUGGAAGAAGACCAAUCAUGAAAUUUUUCAAAAUUAAAUUAACUAUUUGAUUAAUCUUAGCCCUAACUUGCCUACCUGAAUUCGGAAUUAGAUAUCUGUUAGUAAUCAAUUUCCUAGUUAGGCCUAUCCAAUAAGGAAAUAAUUAUAUUCUAUUUAAGGUAAAAGUUUAAUUAUAAUAUAUUAAUUUUUCAUAAAAAUUUUAAAUACUUGGAGGUUACAUUCCUCUCGUAUUAAAAAAAUUUGAUCGCCAAAUUUGAUUUACCUUAAGGAAAUAGAUGUAGGUACGACCCUCCAACGUUAUCUUCCAUUUCCAAAGUCUAGUCUAAAUGAUACAUACAAUGAACUUUCACUAAUAAGAUAACUUUAUUCCUCACAACAUGCUCCUUCCUUUUUAAAAUUUCAAUUGACUGCUCUAAAAAAAGUGGCAUCAUCUCUCAAUCGUAGAGGUCGCAAAGGUUGGUACGAGAUAAUAUAAGAUGAAUCCCUAACAUAUUUCAAGAGAAUCGAGACAUAAAAUAUACUAAAAAUGUUUGUAGGUGCUAGGGCAAGGUCAAUAGAUAAGCCACAUAUUUGAUCCUCUAUAAGAUUUCAAAAGAGUCUAUAAAUCUCGGAACAAAUUUACUCCUCUUACUAAAUCUUAUAACUCCUCUUAUCAAAGAUAGUUUAAAAAUGACAUGAAUCCUAACCUCAAUUGCUAAAUCUCUUCUCCAUCAUUUGCGUAGUCUUUUGUCGACUCUAAGUUGACAACAAUCUCUCCUUUGAUAUGAAUAGUCCUUUGUCGACUUUCUGACAACUUCUUUGAACAAUCUCUGACAAUAUUAUCAUCUCUGACGGUUUGUCAAUCUCCUUUGACAUGCAAGUUGUCAAUCUUUGACAAAUUCUUUCGAUAAUAUUAUCAUCUCUUCAAAUUAAUUGAGGUCUAAAAGGCUUCCGCUCUCUAACAUCAUCCUAACACACAAGUGAUAAAAGAUCAUCGAAAGGAGCCAUCUUUAUAUUAGAAUGAUAACUAUUGUUGUAAGCAAAUUUAAUGAGAAGCCUAUGCUUAUCCUACUUGCCUCCAAAAUCCAAGGAACAAGCUCUUAAAAAUCCUCCAAGAUUUGUAUUGUUACUUUAGACUAGCUCUAAGAUUUAUAUUAUUCUUUCAUAUUAACUACCUAUUUGAGGGUGAAAGAGGGUGGAAGACUACUAAAUUUCAAUUGAGUGCCCAAAACCCUUUGCAAGCUUCCCAGAACCGAAUCUCGAAUCCUUAUCAUAAAUACUAAUUGGCAGUCUAUGACAUAUGGUGAUCUCUCUUAUUUAACACUACUAGUUUGUCAGUUAUCUAUAUUUAUUAGUACAAGAUAACUCUUGUUUACAAGAAGUAAAUGGACAGACUUAGUGAGAUGGUAUAUUAUCACACCCAGAUUUCAUCAUCUCUUUUGUGUUUUAGGAAGUGCCAACACAAAAUCUAUAGCAACGUGCUCUUUCUUUCAUUCAGAAAUUGACAUAUUCAACAAUUUUCUAACAGGUACUAGAUGUCCAACCUUCACUUGCUACAUAUCAUAUAUUUGAUACGCUGGUCAAAUAUUUGAUAUUUGGUGUCUCUUCAUGCCUCAUUAUUUGAUACCUUUGUCACAAAUCCCGAUAUAUUUUGGUACCCCAAGAUUAAUAGUAAAUUUUGAUCUAUAAGCAUCUUCUAAUAAUUGCAUUUUCUCUCAAUAGGUUUUAGGAACACAAAGUCCUCCGUUUGUUGAAAUUCUAAUCUCAAGCACUGAAUUAUUAUUUUUGACUUAUUUGAUUCUUUCUAUAAAAAAAAUUUAUGGUACAAGCCAAACCUUUAGUCGUCUCACUUAAUAGCUUAAUUUCAUAUCUGCUAGAUCUAAAAUCAUGGAAAUCCUUCGAACAUUUAAAUAAGCUAUAAGGCUCCUACUCAAAAUAUCAAAGACCACAUCAGCCUUUCUAUGGUAAUUAUUAACAUUGAAGUCAUAAUCUUUUAGGAAUUCCAACCAUGUUCAUUUAAUUUUUUUUAUAUGAAGAUAUACUUAAGGCUCUUGUGAUAUAUGGAAAUUUCAAAAGUUUGUUCACGAAGAGUACUAAUGCUCCAACCUUUUAAUACAAAGAUGGUAGUUGUUAACUCCAAAUCAUGUAUAGUGAUAGGGAGAAUAUUAGUGUUUCCAAGUAGAGCUCGACACAAAGCACCCCAAUCAGUAGAAAAGGUUUAAAAGCUCUAACUGACUCCCCAGCUACAUCAACAAAAUCCGAAUAAAAAAUAUUCCUCAAAUAUUUCUUUUACGCAGAAUAUUAAGAGAAGCACCUUCUAAAAGGUAGAGUUGAUGCGACAAUCAAGGUCUAAACUCUCUGCCUCUCGACUCCUUAACCUAUAUCAUGCUAACUUGCUCGAGAACUCAUUCCUGCCAUCGAUCUUUAUGCAGGAGAGGCACCUUGAAACAACACCUCUUAGGGAGCUCAAAACAUCGGGCAUAUCCAACACUCCGUGCACAGAUCGAGUCCAAACCAAGUCGGGCUGGUCAACAUUAAAUCAACCACCGACAUUAACCCCAUCAAGUUGGAUAAUUUUUCUCAUGGGCUUCACUUGUAUUGAUGCACAAGUAACUACUCUCUUAUUUGCCUUAGAAUACACCAAAUCCAACAAAUAAAGGCAUCAUUAGUUAAUCAUUUUCUCAAGUCAAAUGUACCAUCAAGACGACAUGACCAUGUCAACAGAUUAAUCAUUUUCUCAAGUCAACUGCAUUAUCAAGUUGGUCACACUUCUUCAAGACAAUCACAUCUUCAAGUUGAUAGUGCCUUCAAAUUAUCUUCAAACUGCUCUACAUCUCCGAGACGACCACCACACUUCCAAUCGCAACCCACCUAAUCGCUCAACUUGGUGAAGUUGGCACCAAGCAAACCCAAUUUGCUGAAGUUGGAACUAUCCAACUCAUUUAGACGGUGACAGCCAAUGCCACGACGAGGUGCAGCUUGCCGUGGAUCGGCAUGUACAUGACAUCGGCGGUGGAGCAGCUGCAGCGGUGCUGGCCCUUGUUCCUCCAAACAUCGGCUCUCUCCGCUCGGCCACAAAGAUCCACGAUCUGCCCCAAGUCCGUGACCACCCGACUUGACCAAGACGGUGCGGCCCUAGCCUUUGUCCAAGCAGCGACAACAUCGGCGCUUUCACGACUGGCAGCGAGCCCUUUGCCCGAUCGGAGCACAUCAGCAGCGGCAGUCUUCCUUCUUCGUCCCAGGCGGCAACCUCGCGAAGACAGCAAGGACUGCCCGAUAUCGGCAGAUCGGCCCCUCAAUCCUCUAAGCGGCAGUGCUUUUCCACCUGCAGUAUCCGCAUCAACAACCGUCCGAUCAGCCCUCCGCUACGCUGUCUCCGACGCCACCGUCGCUGCGGCUGCCCGCUGCCGCUACACCGCUCCUCGAGCCGUUGUCGCCGCCUAGGAACGGCCUCCGCUGCUACCCACCACGCGUUGCGCCGUUGCCCGCCAUUGCAGCCGCCGUCUCUUCCUCGCUCUAGGUCCGCUGCCGAUGUCGUAGCAUGCCGCUACGGCCAUCGCAGCCGCUGCACCGAUCUUAGUUGUCGCCAUCCACUGCCUUUCAACGUCACAACCACUACCAGCGCUGCGCCGCCCAGCCGUUCAAUGUCGCGUCGGUGGGUUCGACCACGGCUUUGCCCGACGUCACGUCAACUUCGCGUCCGCGGUUUCCACCGUCACGUCGCAUCCGAGGCUUCCUCCGUCGCGUCGGUGGGUUCAAUGUCGCCGUCGUUGCGUCUCUCCGCUGCUGCAUACCACUGUCGUGGCACGUCGCUGCCGCUUCUGUGGCAAGUUGCGUCACCGCACGCCGUUGCUGCACGCUGCCCUUGGCCGCUGUUGUCUGCCGUGCUUUGGUGCCCCUUGUCGCUGCUGAACGCCCCUGCACGUUGUAAUGCCGUUGUUCACCACCUACGGCUGUACUGCACCACCCGUGUUCGUCACCAUUGCUUCCACGCCUUGCGCUGUAUCUGCCAUUGGCCUACUACCGCUGCCGUCGCCGUUCCAGCAGCUUAAUUCCGCUGUAACUACCGUUUCAUCACCAUUGUUCAUUUGUAGACGCUUUCAUCACCAUAGGAGUUGUUGGUUUUAGGACAAUCCUCGUCAAGUGGAGUAGUCAAAGGAAGCAAUUACACCACAAAAUUUCAACUGAUCUUAACAUGGAUAACCCAAUGUUGCAAGCUUUAGCAAGCAUUCAAGAACAAAGGCAUUUUGAACCGAUCUUAAUUUAGAAGAUGCAACAUUUUAAUCGACACCAAGAGGAUCUCCAUGACACAUCAUCUGUUACAAGUCCACAAGUUAUGAUGCUAGUUUGUAGCAGAGCUAUGCUGAGUGAAUCACAUUCCUGUCAUGCACACAAUAUCAUAAUAAGAAUUCCCCAUCUUGCUAUCAACUUAUUUCCAUAAAAAUACUUGUAUAUGGAACUUUGAAGUCAUUAUAAGUUAUUCAGCCAUGAAAUUAAAUUUAGAACAUUUCCAACAUACAGAAACCAACAAAGGUCAAUGCAGAGACUCUUUGCAGCCUUGUUGGCAACACAUACAAUACCCUCUACCAAUAUAUCAAAAGAAAGCACAUCUCUUACCAAUGUACCAUACAAGUUAUUUCUUUGAACGUUCUGAAGACAAGCAUAAAAUUCAAGUCAUUUACUGACAUGAAACAGGAAGAUGAAUCUCUUUCAAACUAUAAGUUAUUAUCUGCUCAGAAGUUUAAACUACAGUACUUCAAUUCAAACAAUUCAGCCACAACAGAAUGCGUAUGGAUGUAUGGAAUUUCUGCUCAUUUGUCACAUUUGCAAUACUGAUUUACAUGGCAAUACAUUACAAGGGUGUACAGUACCAUGUUAUGUUAUAGCUGUUAUUGGACAACAUCAGGAAGGGAAGGCGACGAUGAGCAGCCAAACUUGCUGGGAACUGAUGUCCCCUUGCGAGACUGGCGCUUGGUGGGCACCAGUAUGUUCUCAAAUUCUUCAUCACCUGGAACCUUAUCUUCAGUCUCCCCAUUUUUGAAGACAGGGUGUGUAUAUGCAUUCAGCAAGUAUGCUUUCAUGUCUAGGUUAGGCUCCCUAACAUGAUCUAGUGUAUCUUUCAUUAUUGCUUCCUGAUAAAAAAAAAAAGAAAUUGAAACAAAAAAAAUAAGAUAUCCUCAUUAGUAAUCCUAGUUGGAAAGACCACAGUGAACUAUCAUCUGUAUUCUAUAGCACAAUGCAGAAUUUAUAUCAACUCAAGAACAUCUUACUGAAGUGGAAGUGUACAACAUCUAUAAAGAUCAUGCAGAGAAGAACUGGAACCAAUCAGCAACAGGUGCAUAGGCAGACAUUUAGUUCGGUCAAGUAUGCUUCUAUUUCCUCACAUUUUGCUAUAAUGUAAGAUUCCAUGUAUACAACAAAUUCUGGACACCAAAUUUAACCGGAGUAUAGACUAAUAGGUUGCAGUAAGGCAUGAAAAUGCAUAAAGAGAGAAAAUCAUCCCAGAGGCAUACUUGAACCAGAUUUGGAAAUUGAUAAAAUUUCUGGAUGAGAUGAGUAGGGCAAAAGUAAAAAUAUCUAAAAGAUUCAAUGUAAACUCCAUGCUAAAGAAAUAAAUCGAAAUAAGAAAUCAAACUCUAACCAUCCAAGGCCAUGCAAUUCUGCACUGUGCCAAUUUAACACAGAUCCUGAAUGCCGGCACGUGCAUCGGAGUGCAUGUAGUUCAAUAAGCACUGGCACAUUCACCUUUCGAUCCCCUAGAUAUGGCUAGGAAUGUGAACUUGGAUUUCUCAGUUCAAAAACAGCAGAUCAGGGUGACAAUUCAUCAGCAAUGCAAUAUACUAAGUUACUAGCCAUGUACUACUUGGAUGUGUCAGUAGUAUAAGAGCUGCAAAUCAUGGGAAAGCAUUUUCCAUCGAUUGAAUUUCUUUUCUUCCAUGGUUUGUUCUUUUUUUUUUUCAAGUUCCUGGUUGCUUCGUAAAACAAAUAUGCAAAAACACAUGCAUGUACUUGUCCACACGUGCCUUUUUCUAGAGAUUCACUUGUAUGUCCAGUUAACAUGCUGACCCAAAACAAGAGGCCACUUAGCAUUAUAUUGGAAGCUAUUUCCCUAAGAGAAGUUCUAUCUCAAUUUUAUCAAUAGACUAGCUGUUUGUAACUUUGUAGUAUAACUAUGAGUCUAUGACUAUGAAUCUUGAUCUCAGAAAUAUAAUAAUUUGUUGCUUAUACAAAGACAAAAAUACCGUAAAGGGAGCUAAUACAUUGUUUCAACUAUUACAAGAAAUGAAAAUUCAUAAUAUAAAAUUACCUGAAGUGGAUAUUUAACAAAAGCAGGUUCAUAGCGAUUCUUGCAAAACCUAUGAAACCAUAUAGUCAACACUGGAAGGGGGAUAAGCAAAGGUGUUGAAAUAGCAGCAUGCUUUGUACUUAAGAGUCCAAGUAGAAGCAGCUGAGAUAUGAUCAAAGCAGUGAUAAUGCGGCGAUUGACAUCAGGCCAAAAUGCUGCAGCACUCUCAUAUUCUUGGUUGUACACAUUUAUAAUCUAAUCAAAACAAGAAUGCAUAUCAGAAUACAAAUACUGUAGUUCAAAGAUACAAUUUCUUGAUUGACUAGUGCAUAUGAUAGAUACUAAAUUGUAUGCAUCACAGCAUCAGCAAGUAAACUAAACUGGAGCAAAAACUGGAUAUAAAAUACAGAGACAUUCAAGUUCAUGUUCAUAACCAUAUGAUUUUGCUAAACCAGUGGAAUAAUGUUUGUUUCCUUAAAUUAUUUGUUAACCUGAUUUAUAUGUUUUGAACUUCCUUCAUUUGCUUUUCACUUUUAGAACAAAUGCUGUGCUGAGGCCAACAAUGCCUGUUUCAAAGUGGCUGAAAUAAAGAUCACAAGAUAUGAACUUCCUCAAUAAAAUAAUUAUGAGACAAAACUCUUGAUUAACCAUUCAGUAAAAUUUAAGAACUUCUGUUCUAUAAACAUUUAGAGAUUAGAGCACUUCUGAUUUUUUUUUUCUAAUUUUGCUGAAGUCAUUGACUACUAACGACACUUGAUCCAAGUGAUUGAAAAAGCAACAAUAGUUCAAAAAUCCUCUCAAUAUUAUGAGCAGAGAACACUUCUAAUGUUCCAGUGAAGAGAAACACAUCAUAAAUCUCAAGCUCGUCUUGUUUCUUUGAGUCUGUAUUCAGUCAUUUAAAACAGCAACUAUUAUAUGGAAAUUGAUGGAAAUAGAGGGAAAAGGCUCACAACCCUGCUCAACUAUCCUCUUGAUGACUUACUAUCGCAUAUCUGGCCUUCCUUAAACCAGGGCCAUUGACAAGAGAAGUUAUGUGACCCUGUUUAAAAAUCAAGACAAGGCAUACCAGCUGGAAGACUAAGGUACUUGCUUUCUCAGGUUGAUUGGUCUUCACAGUGCUCUCUUGCCUCUAUUACCCACGCUACUUUUUUGCAAACCAAAUUAGAAAAGAAUCAGAGGUUGUAGGCAUUACAAGCUUUAACACUGCCAUACUAUCCAAAUUGUGACAAGAACUCUCCAACUCCAAUGACUGAACCUGGUCCAAUCUAUUAUGGACUACAUAUUUCUAAAUGAUAAUUACAUGUCCAACAACUCAAGAUGAAAGUAGGUUUCGUUUCAAUCUUCAAAGGAAUUAUUGCGACUGAAAUAUCCAUUACUUGCAUUGUUCAGAAAACAAAAAAAUAAUUUUUUUUAAUGUAAUCAUCGUUAAUUAUUUGUAAAUAUCUUCUGGUUGUUUAGCUCUUGGAUAAUUAUUUUACAAUGAGAACUUUGACACGUUUUUUCUUUCAGUGAGUGAUUUCAUUGUAGUUUGUUAAUUUAGUAGCUGGAGUGAACUUUGAUAUUUGCAUCUUUUGUAACUAUUUCAUUUCCUUGAUUGAAUGAGUGAAUUUGAAUAGGGUUUAGCUUAUUCUUUAUUUUUAAAAAAGGUGGAUACUACAGUGCUCAAAGUUUUUAAAAAUCUCUGUCAAGUUUAUGGUUCAAAAAAUCAGUUACUGUAGUUUACAAUAAUUUGUAGGAAUGAACUCAACCUAAGGAUUUUAAAGAAAAUGACUAGCAUAACAAGACACAAAGUCAGUUAUGAUCAAGGUUCUUAAUUUUGGGUACUGAUAGUAUAAUGGUUAGGGCUUGGACCAUUACCAUGCCAGUUCAUACCGGUGUACCAAGCGUCGAUAUGCUAGCAUGCUGAGUUUUACAUUUAGAAUGAUACCGCCCGGUCCACUAGCAGACCAGUACGCGGACCGCCUACUACCGGGUGGUACCAUCAAUUGAGGCUAUUUCAACCCCAUUAGCACGCGAAAUCGGUCGAUUUUGAUCGUUGUCGCUUGCUACAAGGCAGUAUUAGCCGAGGGAGAAGAAAAGGGAGAAGAUGGAGAUUCGACGCCACUCUGCCUCGAUGAUCCCGAUCCGUCGCCGCCCUCCCUCGUCGGACACCGCAGAUGAGAUGUUGCCUCCUCAUCUAAGAUGACGAGGCCUCGGCAUCAUCAACGACUUCUUCUCAUCCACGUGGGAAGAAGAAGCCUCGGUCGGCAGCAUCGUCGAGGCUUCGCGGGGAGAAGAAACGAGGGAACAUCACCGUUUUUCUUAUUAUAUAUAUAUAUAUAUAUAUAUAUAUAUAUAUAUAUAUAUAUAUAUAUAUAUACACACACACACACCAAGUAGUACACCAGAGCGUACCGCUCGAUAUACUUAUAUUGUACUAUACCGAGCUGAGCUUGAUACUCCGAUACAGUAUAAAAUUACGAACCUUGCCAACAUGUACCAAGCAAGGUAUGCAAUAUCGUACCACACCAGAGUUUCGACGUUCGCUCGGUACGGUACGAUAUUAUAUGCCGAACGGUAUACUAUUCGGUAUACUGCUCGAUAUAUGUACAUAUAUGUACAUAUAUAUACAUAUAUAUAUAUAUAUAUAUAUAUAUAUAUUUAUAUUCUUAUAAAAGGCGACGUCGCGUCGCCUUAGCGAUGCCGCCUUUUAUAAAAAUAUUUAUAUAUAAAUAUAUAUUAAUAUAUAUUUUAUUCCGUCCGGUAACGGGCGGUCCGUGUACCGAUCAGCUGACGGACCAGUACGUUUCCGCCCAUACCGGACGGUAUUAUUCGAAAUUGCAUACCUUGGUACCAAGUUUUAAAAAAUCCUGAAAAAAUAAAAAAAAGAAUUGUCUAGUACAAGCCUAGCAUACCACCUGGUUUACCUUGAUUUUUAGUAAAUAGUAAAUCUCAUCAAUGUUGUGUCAUACCAAAUGAUAUUCAAAUCUUAAUCAUGACUACAACAUAGUAAUAACUAACAAGACAUGCAUAUGACUUAAAUAAACAAAAAGCCUUGCAUUAUAAUUAUUGCAAAUUUGGAAUUAUAAAUGCAUGAUUACCAACAAUUUGCAGUUGCUCACCUGAUGGCGAAAAACAACAUAUGCCAGACCGAAAAAUACUAGUAUGAAAGGAAGUAAGAAGGGCGUGACUGCAGCAUAGACAAGACCGAGCAAGAAAUACAGCUGUAUUUGAGGUUCAGAUAUGGCAAACUCAAUGCUUCCUGGAUCCAUUGCCUCAUCCCUGUCCUUUUCCGUCUUCACCAAGAAAAGAUUUUUUAAGUGGUAGAUAAUAAGAGGCUUCAAUCUCAAGAUCUCCCCAGCAAUUCCAGCCCAACCAUCAAUCAUGAUAUAAGUAAUGAAGAAAGUUGCUUUCAUUGGAAUGGAUACACCAAUUGUUUUUGGAAUUCUGUAUAACAGAGCCAACUUCAAUUUAUUGAGAGUUAAAAUAACUGAAAUGUUCAAAAAUUAAGAACAUAACAAGCUAGACCUAAUCUGAAGUUACGGCUGAAUGAACAGAUUUUAGAAAUUUCUUCUCUUUUUAUCAACCAAGUUAAUCUCAGGCACUUUCUGCAUCAUGUUAAGAGUAUUGUUCUCGGACACCUCAACUGCAUGAGAUCUAACAGUAUAAUUCUUAGAAAAGGACAACAGAGAUCAAGCCAAAAAAAACAGCAUAGCAUAUGAUCCACUUACAAUAGUUCACUAACCAUUCUCAAACAUAAAAAAGAUGAAUAUGAAAUACAUUUUUGACAUAAAUACUGAACAGUAACAUGAACUUCCAUUAAAUAGCCAAAUAUAACCCUAUAAAUACACAAAACUUAACUACAUAAGUCCGAGCUGGAUAUUAAAUCCUCCUAGGGAUAGACAUCAUGAUUUUGUUCCAGAGUAGAAAACAGAAUGGUUUAUCAUGUAACAACAAUUCCAAAACAGAAAAAUGAAUGGCACUUUCUCUAACAGCUUUAUUAAUCAACAAUGGGAUUAAGGAUAACAUAACUGGCAGUUGCUGUAGGAUCAGCAUGAUUUACAAUGAAUUACAUCCCAGCUAUAGUGAUCACUAUAGCUCCAGACAUGUCCCAACAUGAAUCAUGAUAUUCUUGUAUUGAAAUUAGAUUAGCUUGUACACUUUGUAUAUCGUAUACCCCUUGAUUCAAGGUUUUUUAUCAUGUUAACCAUUGGUAACCCUAGGGGCUCCCUGAAAAUGUUUCAUUUUACCAAGUUUGUCUGUCAUAUUCUAAUUCUAUUUUCUAGCUGUUAUCUGGAAAUAAUAUAUUCCAUAAUGAUCUAAUAAAAAGGUAUACUAAGGGCAUGAGACUCCGGUCAAUGCGAGGUCUGGGAGGAUCAAUGAAUGCAGUCUUAUUUUUUAAAUUUUAAAAAGGCUAUUUCUGUUAGUUGAAUCAUGAUCUCCCAAAUCGUAAACUGUUCGUCGUUUGUCCACGAUGAUUUUUGGUUCAUGUUUUCUACUAUUUUCUUCGUGUUUUUGGUGUUUUUUUAGGAUAGUUUAUACCAAGAUUUGUAAUUCCGCAUCAUACCGAAGUAUUGAGCUCAACUCGAUAUAGUACGGUACAAGUACAUCGAGCGCUACAUUUUGAUAAACCGCUCGGUGUAUAUAUAUAUAUAUAUGUAUAUAUAUAUACAUAUAUAUAUAUGUACAUAUAUAUAUAUAUGUACAUAUAUAUAUAUACAUAUAUACACAUACAUAUAUAUAUAUAUACAUAUAUACAUAUAUAUAUAUAUGUAAGUAUAAAAAAAAGCGAUGUUGUCUCGUGUUUUGUGUGGGGAGGUUUCCUUCUCCCCAUGCAAAACAGGGUGACGAGGCGACGUCGCCUCGUGUUUCUGCCCACGUAGGAGAAGAAACCGACCUCGGUUACUUCUCCCUGCGUAAAAUAGGGCGCCGAGGCAACGUCGCCUCAUGUUUCUGCCCAUGUGGGGAGAAGAAAUCGAGGUUUCCUUCUCCCAACAACACUCGGUUUCUUCUCCCCGCGACGUCGCUGAGGCUUCUUCUCCCCACGCGGAUGAGGAGAAGUUGCCGACGAUGCCGAGGCUUUGUCACCUCAGACGAGAAGGAGGCGGCAUCUCAUCUGCGGCAUCUGGCGAGGGAGGGCGGCGACGGAUCAGGAUCGUCGAGGGAGAGCGGCGCCAGAUCUUCAGGUUCUCUCUUUUCUUCUCCCUCUUCUUUCGGCUAAUCCCUCUAGGUGGCACUGGGGUGGAUGGGGCUUUGGAUAGGUAUCUAACAGGUGAUGCAACGUCUUUAGUGUACCCGUUUUAUGUUCAACGAAAGUGCUCGGUAAACAUUAGGCCUAAAUCAACCAUUGGAAUCCCCUUUAUGUGUGCUCCUUCAGCCCAUUUUCGAGAUCCUUUCGAGCCUAAUAAAUAUUGGUUCAUUUGUGUUGCUUUCAAGCCACAAAGGACCCUUUCGAGAGAUGAUGAUGCAACGACAACAGCAAAUUACUCACACGUUUACCUUUCAAAUAUUUUCUUUGUUGUGUAGGUCCUUUGUGGACUACACAUUACUAAGGUAUAGGCUGACCCUAGUAGAUGCAUAUCACUUGGGUAUCGGACACCUUAGGCAAUCCCAGCUAAGGACAUAACAUUGAGCUGAAUCAUGAUCUCCCAAAUUGCAAAGGAAUAAUCUUAUCAUUGUAUUAAGCAAGGUUCGCAAUACCGUACCGUAUCGGUAUUUCGACCUAGGCUCGGUACCGGUACGGUACGGUGUACCGAGCGGUACUCCCAGGUGUACCGAGCACUGCUACAGUGCGGACCGGUACCGGGCGGUCCGCGUACCGCUGGCCUGUCGGACCGGUACGUACCGCCCGUACCGGGCGGUACGAUUCGGUAUGGCAGACACUGGUAUUAAGUAUUAACUACUAAGGUCUGUCCUUACUCCAUAAUGAUCUGAUAAGGAAUAAAAUUUCAAAAUCCUAUGGUGGAAAUAAAAAAUUCUAGAUACGUCAAACAAAAUUGUACAAUGAUGGAUGCAAAUAAAUGCAAUAAAAUAAGAUCUUCAGCAACCAGUAGUAAGAAGAUGUGUACCUAGAUGAUUUAGUAAUAAUUUAAAUCAAGGAUUGAAAUAUUGUACCGUACCGAAGUUUCAACAUUCACUCGGUAUGGUACGAUACUAUAUACCGAGCGGUAUAUCGUUCGAUAUAUCGCUCGGUAUAUAUAUAUAUUUUUAUUUAUUUAUUUAUAUAUUUUUUUAUAAAAGGCGACGUCGCCUUUCCUUCUCCCAUGUGGGGCGACGUCACCUUUUAUAAAAAUAUUUAUAUAUAUAUAUAUAUAUAUAUAUAUAUAUAUAUAUAUAUAUAUAUAUUCAAUCCAGUAACGGACGGUCUGUGUACCAGUCAGCUGACGGACCGGUAUGUACCGCCCGGUACGAGCGGUAUUAUUCGAAACUGCAUACCUUGAUUUAAAUAAUGGGGAAGACCAAAAUGUUGUAUGGUCAUUGACUCAUUAACAAUGUAGGAUACAAAUGGAUGACGAUGAGAUGGAAAUGUUGUAAACUUGAAUAAAUUAAGUGAAGAAUACAGGAGUAGAGGAGUUUGUGCCUACAGCAAUAAAGACAGCUUUGUGUAAUAGCAUUGGAUGCACCCUAGAUGAAACAUACGUAAAAGAAACCCCAUCAAAACAUUCCAGAGUAGCUUUUAGAAAAUCUGAAUAGUCCCUAUUGUUUCUUCAUCUUAUUUUGACUGGUCUUAAGCCUAAAGUAUUCAUUUAGUUACAAAAGCUCUUAUAGCAGUGUGGCAGCUUAUUUAUAAGCAGAGCAUGUUGUCAAAAACUGAAGGGAGAAAAUACAAUCAGAAACAAAACUAUGAAACACACUAAGUGAUUGUUGAAUCUUCAAGUCCAAGUGCAUAAUUCAUUUCUAUAUGGAAUGUACAACUCCAUUGCUUUACGAAUUCUUGACAAAGACCAUUGUGAUGCUUAUUACAAGUCCUUGAGUUUUUAGGUAGACAAUUAAUUCUUUCGUUCAUUUUCUGGUGGUUUCUAGUGAAGAGUCAGCUUGCAUGGCUAUUGGACAUCCAUGCAAUUUUAGCAGGCAAAACCUCCUCUUCUUCCUUCCUCUUCUUUAUCCUCUUCCUCCAGUGCCUCCUCUUCUUCCUUCCUCUUCCUCCUUCCUCCUGGUCUUCCUCUACCACUAUCUGUUCUUUCCUCUUCUCUUCUUUUUCUGCUUGGUCGAUACAUGAUGACAAAUGUUGGUAAGAAAUGUUAUUGUUUAAUUUAACGGCUUGUAUAAGUUGACUUGAGAUAAUGAAUUUGCCUCUUUACUGUAAUGUCAGAAUGAUUUGGCAAUAUGAACAAAUCUUUAUCUGUGCCGAACAGAUCAAUAUUGGAUACAGCCUCAUCCGUAUUGUGAGGUGAAAAACAGCAUGGUUUUGUUGAUAAAAUAUUAAGCCGACUACAUGGAUCCUUUUCCACCAUAAAUCUUUGUUGGAGGCAACAUCCUCAACAUGCCCAAAGACUUCAUGCCUUGUUCAAAAAUAUCUGACCAAGUCUUUUAUGAUCUUACUCCUGCACUGGAUCCAUUUACUUGUAAUAGUUCAAAUUUCCUGAUUAGUGAACCUAGAAGUCUUUAAUGCAUGUUUGAAUAAGUAUUUAUUUGAUUUUGUAUGCUACAAGAGUGGAGCAACCUCUAGCCAACCACAAAUGUAUCUUUCAAAUUAUUUUCCUUGUAAUUCAUUCAUCUGAAUGUCUGUAUUCAUCUAACCUAAAUUUUGAAAAUGUUGUUUCCUAAUUGCCAUGUUUUGAUCCAUAAAGCAUCACUGCAUGGCAAGUUUUACAUCAAUACAUAGCCUUCUAGCCACAUGUAGUAUUUCAUAUUUUAUUUACUUCGGCUCAAUCAGCAUCAGUUAGGUAAUAGAAUCAUCAUCUUGUUAUUCAUCAUCAAAUUAAAAGUCACAAAUAAAAAAACCAAGAAAAUAUAUAUCAAUGUCUUUUUCAUUCCUUUAACUUAACAAAUCUACAUCAAAUUUGCAUAAACAAUACAGGAUAUAUGUCAUUAAGAGAUCAGUCAUCCAUGUUUGUUUGAUCCAAUAAAUGACUUGAAAAACAUAAUUAUGUUUCAUUCAUUGCCACAUGACUUUUCAUGGAGUAGUAUGCAUAUAUGCCAUCUAAAAUAUACAUAUUUAUGCAAUCUACAAAGCAACACUAGCAACCUGCUAACAGAUUCUGGAAUUUAAUGUUCAACACAAAAUUGGCUCAGGCUUGAUCUGGAAGCUCAAGCAAGACGACCAAGAUCUAACCCACUGUUGAGACCUUAAGUUAGUAGCAUGUGUGUUUCUGUUAUCUUUAUACAGCAUGAAGCUUAUCUUUACAUUACAAUAAAGCUCCCAAAUUGGACCCAAAUUUACUUCAAAGUUCAAACAACCAACCUGACUAACCAAGCCUGUUCAUAUUUAUCUCAAAGUUUGAGACAGGUAGGAUAAGCCGAUAAGGUAUAACUGACCAAAUUUAUUACUAAUUAGAUGCUUCUCCAUCUGGUUGAGCUCUUUUAAAACAUCAAAUCUAAUGUAUGUAUGGUCUGUCGAUUGGUUAUCUAUUGGUAGGAUAACAUACAUAUAUAUAUGAGAAAGAGAGGUAUAGAUAAAGUAACAGUUUAUCUUAUAGAUCGAUGAGUCAGAUCAACAACAUGUUGAUGUAGCGUUCUAUCAACAUUUGUAUGCUGAUAACACAUCACAUAGAUCUAAAAUAUUGCUAUUGAUGAUUCAAAAGAAUUGCAUAAAGUUAAAGAAGUUUGAACUCUGCAGAAACUUUAGCGACCUGGCUUUCAAAUAAAAAGGAAGGUUUAAAACAUACUCAUUUGCUGACUGGUGUAUAAAACUAUUAAGUUGCUCGAAUGCUGUUCCAAUAAUUAUACUCGCCAGAAACACAUUGACCAGUAAGAAGAUAUAAUAUUUAGAUGCAGAUCUUCUCUGGAGAGCUGACAAUGAAACAAAUCCUUCGAACUUUGACAUGAGCAUCAGUAUCAUAGGCAGCAAUAUAAGAAAGAUCUUCAGAACAAUUCCGGGGAGAAAACCUUGCAUGACUGACUUAAUGACGGGUCUGUGAAAUUGCACAUUAUUCCAUAAGAAGAAACAUGAGACCCAUGUAGGGAAAAAUAAUAUCAUUAGAAAUGUAGUAAUAAAUCAAAUUUUAUUGCAAAGUUCUUGAUUAUUCUCCUAUAGCUAACCAUUCUAACGCAAAAUUUGGCAUUUACACAAUAGAGUUAAUAAGCAUGUUUCUGUCGAAGAAACUAGGAAGAAAAAAGAAAAGGAUCACCAAGCAUUAGGGGUAAUACAGGCAAAAUUAUUCUUGAACUUUAUGAUAUUGAAAAUCAAAAUUAUUUAAAGUUGUUGUCAUCUUGGAGUAGCACAUUUAUCAGUUCCAUAUGCUCAUAAUGGUUUGUCAGUGAACAGCUAUACCAAUGAUUGAUAGGCAAUAAGAAUGCUUUAAGUGAACUGAAAUCAAUCAAAGAAAAUUAAUUUAAUCAAAGAAAAUAAAAAAUAACAAUUUCAAAUUAAUAAAGUAAAAGGACCAAAAAGAAAACUAUUAUUGAACCUAAAAGAUAAACAAUACAGUAUACUUACAUUUCAAUUAAGGGCUUCAAAAAUGGAGCUGCCUUCUCGAUUCCUUCAAUAUUUGCAAGUGAUUGUACCAAUGCAAUUGGAAUCAUAAAGAAGAAGGUAAGAAAGAAGAAGGAAACCACUACAAUCAACUUUCUAAUUGUGAUGGAAACAAAAGGAAUGGAUAGAUUCUGCCAAUAUAUAUCACGAGGUUCUGGUGCCCACUCAGUCAACCACAAUGUGGGAUUUCUUGUCUGUUGUGUUUGUGCACAAACAGCAGCCCCCCAUCGUGUUCGAAAAGAAACAAAUGCAGCUGGCAUGAUAUACUUGGGGUUCUUUAUUAUAUUUUCAUGCUCUGCAGCUUCCUGAAAAUGUAUUUGACCAAAAAACCAGGAAACCAAAUUUAGUAUCCAAACAAAAAGUAACUAUUUAUUGUUUGUGUAACAACAUAUACUAAAAAGGUAAAGUAAAAUCUAACACCAAGAAAAAUGAAACAUCAGAGUUCCGCAUGUUAAAUCAUCAUGCCUCCACAAUAAUGAUAAGAUAAUUAUAUGAAGGCACCUAAUGAUCCACUAACAUCUACUGCAUGCAUGAAAUAAUUGAGCAUGAAAACACGGACAAAGGUAUAAUUACUUCCCUAAUUCCUACUACUCCUUAACUUUACUUCAAGGUGCAGUUGCUAAGAUUGGCAAUUGAGAAUAGGUCUAAGGAUAAAGUUGGGAUCUAUCCACUAAGAUCCAAAGCAUUUCGUGUAAUGUUGCUGAAACUAAUGCUGACAAGGCACUAGGACCACUUAAACCUCGCUAGUUGGGACUAGUGAAUCAAUUUGAAGGCUAAGCUAUCCAACUAAGCUCCAGGAGACCUACUGGAGCCAGCAAAUCAGGAUAUCCUGAAUUAAAUAAGGCGUCAAGAACACUAAUAGUGUCCUGUCAUAACUAAUGGAUGCAAAAGAAAGAAUCGUAUCCUCAGAUCAAGGUCAGGAGAACACAGAAAGAUGAGAAUACAUUGCUAUAACUUUCAGGAAGUAUUACAUUGAACUCUCUCUUUCCAAGAACAUUUGUACAAACUGUCAAUAAUUGAUCCUUCAUGUCUGCCAAUUUAUUAUGUUGCCUUUGGUAUUUGACUUGGGCGAUAAAAUAGGCAGUGCUUUGGGUGAGAUAAGGCCUUGAGUUGAAUGGCUUUCUUUUAGUAACUUUGCCUCAUUUUAAUCAGAUUCCACAAAAUCUUCUAAGAUAUUUUUCAAGACCCUACAAACCCAAGUAGCCUAAACAUACUCCAGCAUUGCCCUUUUAAUGAAAAUUGGAGGCAUAACCUAAUUAAAGAUUUCAGGUCAAUCAGUCUGAGUAAUGUUUUUGAAGGUGUAUUACAUAGUUGCAAAUGGAUGAACAGAAUUGCUACUAGAUGUAGGCUUAUCUUCCCAAUCUGCUUGGAUGUGACAAUGCAAGGUGGUUUAUAUAAUAAAAGAGAGAAACGGAUACAUUAGUGGAUGGUUCUUUGCUAUCAAACUUGUACAUGAGAAAGGCACUAUUUGUUACUUCUCAUACUUUGACGUGUUAGAAAUUGUAAUAUCACUAAAUUAUCAACAUCUCACUUAUAGUUAUUUGCAGUUAGGCUUGUAGAUGCAAUGAAUUUCUAUCCACAGUUAAUCACAUUGUAAGCUCAUUCAGCACCACAUGAGCCAACAUACCAAAGUAAAAAAGCAAUGAAAUGAUGAGUAGUAAUGAUCAAUAUUAUGUUCUACAGCCAUAGACUAGUGAAGAAUAGAUGUAUACUGCUUAUGGAUAGAAAAUUUCCUGAUAACUUUGUUAACAAAUGAAUGUUGAAUUUGAAUAAUUUCUCAUUACCAAAUAUUAGUACAGAAAUAAAUCAGUGCAGGAGACAUCAGAUGAAAGAAACCAGAUAUUUUAAACUUAUGCAUUGAUAUUUUCAUUUAUUUAAAAUAAUGAAAUAUUUAUGUGUGAUAAAUAAAUACAUUAUUAAGUUACUUAAGCUUAACCCAUCAGAUAAACAAUGCAAUUAGUAGCACUUACUUCUUUAGAGAGUUUAUCAAUCUUAGAUGUAUAAAAAUCAAUUGCAUCCACCUUGUGACCAUACAGUCCCCAGAAACCAGUCUGUUAAAAACCAAGCACAAAUAUGAUGUGCAAAAAAAAUUGACAGAUAAAUACUAUUAGUUAGUCUUAGUAUAAAUAAAGAGUAUAAAAAUUAAACAUAAAAGAAUAAAAACAUCAAAGAGUGAUAAUGUCAUUAUAGCCAUAGUACCUUUCUAGUCGGUCUUUUUAAUGGAUUGCGAACAUAUUUCAGUUGAUAGUAGUCACGCCAAUUCUCCAUUUGUUUCUUCUCUUCAACCAGCUUAGCAAGUUUGUUUGCAUUAUACACAACCUACGCAGUAUGCAUAAAUAAGGUUUUUUUUUUAAGUUCUUGAUGCUAAACAAGUUACACUUGUAAAUGUGCAUAAAAAUUAUGCAUGCAUAAUCUUGAUGAAUAACAUUCACACCUGACAACUCUGCAUAGAUAGAAAACAGAAAGAAACACCAAAAUAGAUCAUAAAAUCCAACUAUAUGAAGCAUGAGUUUAUAGUAACAGAAUCUAAAAUUAUAUGCUUAUAGAGUUAUACACCUGGGCUUAUGCUAAUAGAUGAUAGAACUAUAAGUUAAAGCAAUAUAAUAAUACUUUCAAGCUGAAAUGUAUUCAACAGGUUCAUGAUGACACUAUCUUAGUGCUCAUUCAUAUAACUAAGGAAUCAAUGACAGAAUAAAUACCUGAUGGGUUAAGUAAUGAUCAGGAUGAUUGACAAGGAAAAAAUGUUCAACAAGCUCACCAACUGACUCAUCUGGAUCAGGUGGCACAUUUCGAACAAGGACCUAAAAAGAGUUUAAAUGCACCAUAGGUUAAUUUGUAAACAUGAGAAAGAGACUAGGUCAAGCAAACAAUUAUUGCAAAAUAUUAUGCACAUGUUCAGAACAAUGAUUGUAAUUUCAGUUCAUACCAAUGUACCGAGCCUGCUCGAUACAGUACGUAUCGAGGUAUACCGAUGGUACACCAGGGUGUACUGAUGAUACGUACAAAAUGACUAAAAAACCCAUCAAAAAUUAAAAAAAAAAGUUAGAUUAGGGUUUUUAAGUUAGAAAUAAAUAUAAAUUUAGUAUAAUUUUAGCAAAAAUAAUGUAAAUUGACCCAAUAUCGAUCAAAUUUUGAUUAAAUCAUCAUUAAAACCACUUAUCACAGCAUUAAAAAAAUUAAUUAAAACCUGAUUAAGCAUAUUGUACCAUCACAAAUAUAUGAUCUAAUCCUUAAUAUGCAUAAAAUAUAAAGAUAUGACCUAUUAAGUAUCUAAUUUAAAAAAAAUCAAUAUUAAACAUAAUAAUCACAACAUUAAAGACCUUAGUUACUCCCUAAUUAACACUAUUCUACCAUCAAAAAUAUAUCAAACAAUAUAUUAGACAUUAAGUCUUACACCAUAUAGAAUGAGCUUAAUCAUCUUAUAAAUCAAUAAAAAUCUAGAAAGAAAAUGCAUACCUCUUGAUUAGAAUGUUUUUCCUCUUAAUCCUCCCAAAUUAACAUCUUAAAUUUAAUUUAAUUCAUAAAUCAUAGCUUUGUUGAGCUUAGGAUAGUGAAAAUAUAAGAAUAAGAGAGAGAUGUAAGUAAAAAAGAGUUUAAGAGAGUUCAAGAUAUUGAGAGAGUGAAAUGAGAUAAAAGAAAGGGGAGGAAAGGGUUUAAAAACCCUUUUCUAAACCUCAAAUGAUCAAAUUAGCCAUUUGAAAUAGGGCAAUCUCAACCCUAUUAGUUACAGGUGCCCUGCAAGCCAAUUAUAUAAGUGAUGACACAUGUAAUCCGCUAAAGAAUCUCUUUUGGUUAAUAUUUAUCAUGGCAUUUUCUCACUUUAUAUUGGAUGAAUAUAUAUAUUGUGAUGUCCUUGGAUCUGUACAAUGGAAAUUGGAUCAUAAUGAGAUCAUGAUAAUGAGACAAAUUUAUCUUUAAACUCGGAUCCUAAACAUUCCUGGUCAUAAGUUACUCGAGAAGGACAUCGAGGUAACCGGAUAGACCGGUGUACUAUAUACCCAUCCAUAUAAUGGAGGCAGCUGGUCUCAUAGCUGCUUGUGUAGGGACACCAGAGAUAUGGUAUAGGUGCUCAUUGGAGAAUGAGUUCACAGAAUGACCCGCUUACGGAAUGUUGGAUGAUUAAUGAUACCUCAUCAUCAGACAAUAAUUUCACAGUUUCAGUUGUGUAUCUACUAUCUAGUCCUUCGACUUGAGACACCAAGAAUACUUUGUUUGAGUACUUUAUUCUUUAAUACCGGAUUUAUAAGUCUAGAAGUUAUGGAUCUAGUACAGACAAUCAUUGAGAACGACAAUCAACCUUACAAAGGCAAUUGGGUGUCAAUAGAGAAUCUUCCACUCUCUAUAUCAUGAAAGGAAUAUCCUAUAUAUUCUCACUCUGGUAAAUCUGUGACCAAGGUCAUUUGGAUUGUGAUGAAUCCGAUAAGCAUGAGACUCGGAUUGAGAGAAGAGUUUCUCGGGAGAAUCCGAUUAAAGUGAGACCCGAAUGGAUUUCAUAUGGGCAUGACAGCACCAUACCUAGUAUAUGAUCUCUAGAUUAUUAGAUGAAUAAGGGACUAUAGAUACAAGGUAACUAAGGGUCAACAGGUCCAAUGAAUUAAAUCCUCCUAUGUUGUUUGGGGACUAUGAUGUAGUGGCCUAAUACGUUCAUAGUCGAUGAGUUGAGUGACUUAUUAUAAGGAUAAUAAUUCACUGAGUCAGAAAAAGUUCUGAAUCAGAAGGAGUUCUGACAGGUGCAACUCACGGCUAGUUCGAUAUUAGGUCUAGAGAGUCACACACAUAUGGUGGACAAUAUGACGAAUAGAGGAUCGAAUAUGGGAUAUCCGAUAAGUCCCUGAUUAAAUGGAUCCUUGGGAGAGACUCAAUAGAGCUUAGAAUGAUUAUUGGAUGGGGAUUCAAUAUUCAUUAAGUCAGGAGUAAUUGGAUGGAGAUUCAAUACCCAAUAAGAAAGAUCCAUUAGGGUUAGUUAAAGGAGGCUCUCUAUAAAUAAGAGUUAGGACUAAAAGAGUUAUAGGCAAGACCCCUAUUACCACUACCCUCCUCAUCUCCUCCCCCCUUCUUCCUCCAGUCGACUGCCCCCUCUCUGGUGUGAGAGGACAGCAAGAGGGACCGAUCCCUCCUUGUGUGUUACUGUGCGGUGGUGCACGAUUACGAGGAAAGAACGUAUUGCAUGAGAAGAUGCGUCACCGCUGCGUCCAUCGUGUAGAUCACCACUAGAGAGGAGUUUGCGAGAGCUUCUUCAUCCACAGACUAGAAUCUACCAUCUUAGGGGAUAUACGAGUUCCCCUAAGUGAGAACAUCUCAACCACUUUAUACAGUUUUCAGUUUCAUGAGUUUUACACUCCCGAUCUUCGAACGAUAAUUCGAUAAGAUUGUUUUGGAAAACCAGUUUUUAUUUUCUAUUGUACAUGUGAUACUCCCCAAGAUUUUCCAACAAACCCUUGAUUGAUAAUGGUCGAAAUUCGAAUAUUACCGACUGGUAUAGGUUGGUAAAGAUCGGAUUUUGAUCGUUACUGCUCGAUACAGACCUCAUAUCACCCGAUACGGGGUCAAGUGACCAGUAUCACCCGAUAGAGGGCGGUCCACGUAUCGAUAUAUUUAUGAUCAAUUUAUAAUUAGAAUUUUGGAUUUACAUUGUAAAAUUAGCAUAAACCAUAAAUGGUAAUUUCAAAUUAACACAUUUGUUAUUUUAGUAGUGUAAUAUUUUCUCUUGUUCUUAUUUAUGUAUAGUUGAUAUCAAGGAUUGAAAUUUCGUACCAUACCGAAGUUUCGAGCUUUGGUCGAUACGUUAUAGUGUUGUACCGAGAGGUAUGCCAGGGCGUACUGAGCAAUACGCCUAAUUUAGGCGUAAAAUUCUUCGAAAAUAUCUAAAAAUAAAAAGAAAGUUAGGAAAGGGUUUCCAAGUUAGAAAUAAAUAUAGUAAUAGAAUAAAUUUAAUGAAACCAAUGUAAAUUAGAUAAGAAUAGUAACACAUAUCUUUUUUGGACUUUAAGGAAUAAUCUUGUGCAAGGUUCGUAUUUCGGUCUGUUACGGAUUGCUCUUUUAUAAAUAUUGAAAUAUCUACAGAAAAAUUAUUUAAAUUAUCAAUUCAUAAAUCGUUGCUUUGUGGAGUUUAGGAGAGUGUAAAUGUGAGAAAAAAUAAGUUUGAGAUAGUCUAAGAGAGUGUGAGAGUGAAAUACGGGAGGAGAUAAGUUUAAAAACCCAUGAGAAAGUGUCGAAAUCGAUCGUUACCGAGCUGUACCAAGCGGUAACGAUCGAAAUCAAUCAUUACCGAGCUACGUCGGGCGGUAACGAUCGAAAUUUUGAUCGUUACCAUUUCAUAUACCCCUAUAUCGUUCGAUAUGGGGCGAUAUUGGGCGUUCCGCUCGGUAACGGGCGGUCCGCGUAUCGGUAUGCUGUUGGACCGGUACCUACUACUCGUAUCGGGUGGUAUUAUUCAAAAUUAUAAACCCUGGUUGAUAUAAUUUCCUCUUGAACAUCUUCAUUAAUAAGAAAAUAUUGUAGAACAAUUAAAACUUCCAAAAAUUACAAAAGUUGAUCUAACCAAGUUGAUACCAGAUGAAGCCUUGCUUCAACUUGGACUCCUGAUUCAAAUCCUUCAUAUCAUAUUGCCUUAGUUCACUGCCUAUUACAUGUAGCUCAUUGUCGAGAUCACAAGUGCAAAGUUAUCCUAACUUGAUCUUUUAAUUUGUAAUAAUGUAACAGGUGACUUUUUCCACAUGACAAUAAUUGCAAUGUCUUCUUCAUUGUAUUGUUUAUAGCCUCAAAUAGAAUGAUUGUAAGGUAGAAAGUGUCCAAAAGAUUUCCAAAUCUACUUCAAUACUAGUUAACACAUAGCAGAGGCAUGAUGAUCCAUUUUGGCCUACUUCAAUACAAGUUGACAAAACUUUGCUAACCAAAUACAUUUUGGCCUAAGCAACGUUUGUGUGUGUACAGAUAUAUAUGUAUUAUUUGGUAGCCUUGUUCAUAGUAUAUAUAUAUAUAUAUAUAUAUAUAUAUAUAUAUAUAUAUAUAUAGAACNNNNNNNNNNNNNNNNNNNNAUUUGAACUCUCAAAUCAGAUUGCAUAAAAAAUGAAAGAAAGUACAGUGAAGGUAUACCUUUCCUUUCCCAUCGAGAUGAUAAGUGUCAUUGUUAGGAAUUAAGCAGUAAAAUGUACUCAGAAAGUUAGAUGAUUAUAUUUAAGUUCUAAACAAUAAUGUAUAGAAAAAAAGUGAUUUAAAUCUUAGCAAGUCUUUAAUAUAACAAGAGGUAACUCAAGUUAGCUAGUCCCUUUUGCUAUGUACUUUUAUAAUCAAUUAUUGCAUUAGUGAUGAUUAUCAUCAUAUUCAGUCACUGAUGCAAAUAAAUUUUCAAUAGUUGAUUGUGCUUAAAUAAACAUCGAUAUUGUAGCAGCAUAAAAAAAACCAGAAGGCACUAGAAAAAAAAAGGAAAAUCUAGUUUAAAAAUGACAAACACAAGAAGCACUAGAAGAGUAAUUCUCCUUUACAAUUGAAACUAAGAUAUCUGGAGUUCAAGUGACAAUUUUUUUCUAGUUUCACAACAAGAUCUCAAUUUUAAAUUGGGACAAUUUAUGCUAACAACAACUUCUAAAUGUCUUAGAUGAGCUUACAGUGAACUGAUCAGGACGGCUUUUCAUUGAUGCAAGAAAGUGUAACCUCAUUGCCGCAACAAUUUCAUACUCCUUAUGCAACACAUAACAUGACCAAAAGGUAAAGACAUAUGCCAUAACGACAUGGGCCAAAAACCUGUGAUGAAAUUAAGCACAUUUUACAUAAGUAUAAAACAUCAUUAUUCGACCAAAUAUAAGAAAAUAAACAGGGAGGAAAAGUGAUUGCUUUGACCAGUGGAAACACAUCAAAGAGUAAUAGAUUGGAGAUAGAAUAGAGGGGUUGUAUUUACAAUAGAAAGUGCAAAAAUGAAAUUACAGAAUUCAAUUCCAAACAUUUGAUGUGAAAUUUGACAAAGCCCUGAAGCCAUUAAGGUAUGCAAAUUGCAAAAUCUGGACAACAAACUUCUCCAUAUCCUUUGUCACACAAAGUGAGUAGUACUUGGAUCUUUGGGUGAAAUAGUGUCCUCAAUGUCACAUAAGCUAGCAUAAGUUUGAAUAAGUCCCAUGCCUCAACCAUCACCAUACUAUCAAAACUUUAAUCUAAUAACAACAAACUUUUCUUGACAAUUUUUUUUCAUGACAGUGCUGUGUGUUGGCAUGUUAAUCAUUCUCCGAGUCUGGUACACUUAUUCCUAAAUCUGAUGCCUUGGUUGGUUUGCCGCACCUUGCUCAGCAAAUGCAUGAAAAAAUGAUGACAUAUUCCGCUACCAAACAAGUUCAAUAUAAAUCAAAUAAUUUAAAAAUCCACAAAAUAGUACAAAAAUAGAAUUUAACUAGCAACUUGCUCAAUGAUCAACUUCUAAUUACUUACCUCUGUGAUCCUGUAGGAACAUUUGAUAUGGAGAGAUCAUCUAUAUCACUGUACACUUUGUUUGAAUUUUUCAGAGUGCUAUUUGUCCAGUUGACAGGUACAAGAACAGAGAAUGCCAGGAUAGUGAUGGGAAUGAAAAUUUUAAGUCUGUAAAAAAGAAAAAAGAAACACAGAUAUGCACCACAAUGAAAUGACACAAAGCAACUAUUAGAAUAUACCAAAGUUUUAAAAUUUAAAAGAGCAAUAAUUGUUCAGUUUGUAUCCACUAAUAUCAUAGUAGUAUAAAAAACUGGUGUCAUCUUUUAAUCAAGUAAAAAAAAAAAUCAUCUAUAGUAAGGAUAAUUUGUGAAUCAAGAGCAACCCAUAACAAGCGAAAGAAAAAUAGGAUAAUAAAUAAGUAGUGGAAAUGCUUCAGGUGGAAGCAAGCAAACAUUAACUGGACAGACAAAAGAUAUGAACCCAAUCUAAAAUAUUGCCACCUUGGACCAUUGGUCAUAUCCUCAAUGGACAAACAAAUAAUAAAAUGGAGCAAUAUUGCAAUUGUAAACCACCUUAAUAGUCCCAUUUCCAUUACUUGGAUUUCUAUGAUGGAAAGCUAUAAAUGGUUGAAGACGGUUCAAGGUUCCAAGGUCUAAAAGCAUAGGCAUGAGAUACAAAAUGAGGGGCACGCAGUGGUAAUUACAAGAAGCUUACAUGUCCAGAGAAGUAAAAAAGCCAUUCAGACAGAAAAUAGAAUUGACAUAUACCUACUAUUCACUAAUAUUUGGUUACUGGACGUUAAGUUGUGGUACCAUUUUAAUUUAUUUUUUUAUUGAUAAAUUUGAUUAGUCUAUGAGCAUUUUGCAAAUGUCCUAAGUUGUCACUUGACAGUGUCUCCAGUAUUUGUAGUUUAGUUUCUUACUCAAAUAAGAAGAAGAAAGCAAAUAAAAAAUUAAAAAAACCAAAAAUUAAAUUUGGUUGAAUCUCACAAUUAUUGAUUAAAGAUUUCAUCUCAACAUGAAAGUCCCACCAUUCUACAAAAAUUAAAAUCUAUCGAUUAGAUAUUUAAUUAAAAUGAAAUAUUAUUCUCUAAAUCAAAAUAUGAGAAUCUAUCUCCUUUAAAGAAGAAAAGAGUAAAUUACUUUAUGCUACCACAUAAUAGAAAAAAUAGAAUUUCCUAGAUGGUAUGGCAAUACACCUUAUAAGAACAUGCUAAAUGAGAAAGUAAUUGAUGAAAAAACUUCCAAAACAUAAAUAGAAUACCCGAUUAGAUAUAUCCGCAAGAAAACAGCUGAAUCAAGUCCUGCAUGAUCUAUCAAUUCUAGUUCAGGCAUUUUAAGUGCAGCUGGCAUCCAUUCCAGAAAUCUCAAGUAUGACCUCAGAUUUAAAUUGACGAACUUAUGAACAAAUGUUCCUGAGUGGUUUGGGCUGCUUCUUGCACCUUUAAGAUACCACUUGGAAAAGUAAACCCUGUCAUUUAUUGGUUGCAGUCUUAAUACAGCAAAUGCCACAAGGAACACUAAGGCACUUAGUAAGUUAAUGGCUGCUGCGAGUCCAAUGUCAGUGAUUGUAGCCAUGACAACCUCCUAUAUAGACCAAAUUCCCUGUGGACACAUAUAAUUUAGAUUUGUCAAAGAAGAAAAUGCAUAACUCUAGAGAAAGAUAAAAAACAAUAGAAAGCACUUCAUUUGCAGAAUAAACAAGUCAAAAGAUCAAAGGAAUCAACCAUGAAGUAUUAUAUAUUAUCCUACAUACAGAACAAAAUAUUUUUUUACGAAAUAUCAAACAUGAUAGCUGAAUUUCCAAUUAUGACGAAUUAGUACUUGCGAUCGAACAUUCCCUAGCAACUACUUAUCCAAAAACACCAGGACAACUGGUAACAUUCUGUCUAGAGCUAUUAUGCCCUUGUGCUGAACUUGGACUUUGCAAAUCCACUAAAAGUCUAAGAGAUCACACGGAGAACAUGAGGAUCCACUUGGUUAGGCCUCCUUGUUGGACUUUAAGAAUAGCCUUAUGACUAACAACAUUUGGUUUCACAUAAAUUUUCAUGUUUGAUAACUUUUAAAUACUACAUGCAUACUUUGCCACAACGGUUCAGUCAGAAUAGUAAUGGUUCAUUCGAGUGAGGUUUCUUGUCUUGUCUAUUUUCAUCAGUUCCUAUUUGUUUACUCCAGCUUAACAAUUUAAACAAAAUGUUUCUACAACAAACAAGAAUAACAAAGUAAUCUCGAAAAGGAUAUCAAAAGAAGAGAAAAAAAAUUGCAAAUAAGAGAAGAACAAUGAUGACAUUUAAGAUUAUUUUUUGGUGUUCAGGACAUGUGAGUCCAUCAAUAUAUAGUGUGUUCUCAAUGAAAGCUUGCAAUGAUUCGAGAAAUUCUGCGUUCUUUCUUUAGAAUCAAAAGUUAAACAUUAUUCAAAAUGAAAUCAAUAAUUUAAGUGUCUCAUAACAAUUCGACAAAAGAAACCUAAAUGGUCAUUUGAUACUGAGCAAGGCAGACAAAUACUCCCAUAACACUGUUUCUGUUGUUUCUUCUCAGACAAGUGUAGCAUAACUUUUCGUAACUUUCUAGUUGAAUAGUAUGCUGUCUAGGAUUAUGCAAAAAUUGUAGAAUGAAGAUGACUAAGACUAACUGGGGAUAGUUCACAAAGGUAAAAAAAAUUUUAUGUCCUUGUUAAAAGGCUCCACGUGCUAUCACACAUACCAAAGACGUGCUCUCUGUGACAAAAAUAACAAUAAUAAGUAACCCAUCCAAAGAGAUUUCUCAGAGAAACCUUCUGAUCAGCAUUGGAUCCCCAAAUCAAUUAUGCCCAAGGAACCAAUGUCAAACAAAAAUGUUCAAUAUAAUCGGGCAUUAAAUUCUUCGUUUCUAUCGAAUUUAUUUGCCCUAGCACAGCUAAAAGGGAUUCACUCGACAAAUUCCUCCCUGAAGUAUAGAAGAUCACUGACUGCAUCAAUUUGCAUGUCCUUGUCUGUCUGUUUCAGCUGGUUCCCAGCUGGUCAUGUCGCGAAGCCAUUAGUAAAUAGUCAGAUACCUGAACCAUUUCCGACAAACUAGGCGAGGCUACAUUCAUCUUAUAACUCGAUAGUAUAAAGUGUUCAUUCUUCAUCGAAGAACACCACAUUCAGAACAGAUUCAGCUCCAAGAUAUUUUCGACCAAUACAAUCAUUCUGCACGAAGAAGUGGCCGCACGGUCUGCUCCCGAACACUUUCACAUAAAACAUAGAUUUGGUUGCUCCGGAUGGUGUCGUUAAUACAAAGGAAAAAAGAAAAACAAAGCGCAAACAAGAACGCAAGAAACCAACAAUGCGCACCUAGGGAUCAACGACACACGAAAGACUCCAUCAUCAGCUUCCGAUCCCACCGCACCCUGGCCUUCUCCGAAGGCAAAUCUUUCGAGCAACGAGAACAAAGGCGGACGAGAAAGAAAGGGUUCCGAGCAACGUGAUGCGUGGGGAAGUCGAAAUGGUCAGCGUUUGGGGAGGUGGAACGCUUCGGGAAGCCGCAGAGAGCGGGAGAGCAGUGUUUGGUAAGAACAAGAACGAACACUCCUUGGUUAAUAACGCCGUCGACGUGCGGAAACGACGAUUACUGCCUCGGGAAUCGUCAAGUCGCCGUUAUUAUAAGCAACGAGACUUCACGCGCACUCUAUUGAUCGUUGAUGCGCGCCUCACCACAAGGGAACGGUGAGAACUUGUGAGAUUGACGGUCAGGAUCACUUGGGUAGCCUUCUGUGUCUCUUUCGGGUAGCAUUUCAUUUUGAUGCGGUCAAAUCAAAAAGCUUUGACUUUAACAGCAGCAAUAUAUAAUUUUGGGCCCAUAAUUAAUUGUAAUUUCACAUAAUUCAUCAGAAAAUUGAAUUUAUUUAUUAUUUUUAUCGUUUUUUAAGAGCCGGCCGUUGAUGAUAUCCUUUUAAAACUAAUAAAAUUUACAUUCUUUUUUUAGGAGUUCUAUUUUUUAUAGUGACAAAUAUAAUGCUUGCAACUUCAGAUGAAAUAUUUUCAUAUUCUGGAAUGUACAUGUAAAAUCAUAAUAUUUAUUAGGUAUUUAUACGUGUGGUUAAUGUCAUUAUAUUUGCCAUGAAUGAAGAUAUUUUUAUUAGUAUAGAAAUGUUAAAAUUUAUAAUUUUUAAUUAAAAAUAUUAUAUUAUAUAAAAUUUAAUGACAAAAAAAAUUCUAAAAGUUAUAUUUUAGAAUGUCGAACCCCUUAAAUUAUAGUUUCCUUUGUCGUAUUUUGUGGAAUUCUAAAGGGUUCCACUACUUGGCCCUCAAAACCAUCACCAUCCUUAUUUAAUUGUGUGUUGAUUGUCAUGCAUGUCCAUGGCUAUUAGGAUACAGCUUGCUCAACUUUGUUCCUCGUGAUGCAACGUAUUUUAUCAUUCUCAUUAUUUAAUCUCAACCCUCUUGAUAUUAUAUGAACAUUUAUAGAGUGGAAUGAUGUUUUCUUUAUAUUAAGAAACAAAUAAAGACAUCGAUGAUAAUGUAGUUAUCGAUGACUCUUGGUGAGCUUGAUUAGAUCCAAGAUCUAUCAAAUGGAAUGUUUGAGUCAUCUCUUCAACACUUAGGUUAGAAUCAAAAUAAAAAAUAGAGUUAAACCUACAAAAUUAUUUUAUGAUAUAAGUAUAAUUUUUUAAAAAAAUAGUUAUUACGAUUUAGAUAACUAUCAUAUUACAUAUUAUCUCUUAUAAUUAAAUAUUUUUAACAUCUUAGUCCCUAUACUUUCAAUAAUCUUUUUGGAAUCUCUAUACUCAUAAAAAUAAAAUAGUUUAUCUUAUUUCUCCUCACAUUAUUAAUUCUACUAACGAAAAUACCAAGGUUUAUUACUAAACAUGUACUGACUCUGCCUCAUUUCGAUUUAUCACUUAUCAUGUGUGAUAUUUUUGUCAGCAGAAUCGAAAACAUGAUGAUAAAUAAGAUUAAAUAUUUUUUUUUAUAAAAAUAAAAAUCUUAAUAUAAUUUUUGAAAUAGUAUAAAAAUCAUAAAAGGUAACUAAUUAGCCCUAUCCUAUCACAUUUAUUCAAGUUGAUAAUCACGUUGUGAGCUACGAAUGGCCGGAUGGAGUUCACGGAGAAGUUGUGCUUGGAAUAGGAUUUCAGACAAUUUUUAAUUCAGAAUGAGCUAACCUCGAAUCAGGUGGUCAAACAAAAAAACUACAUGAUGUGGUCUUCACUUUGGAUUUAGAGUCCCUUGUUUGUCAUUAUUGCCCACUGUUUUUUACUCUCUUUGUGAUCAUCGAGUUCGACUGUAAUCACUCUGGCGAUUAUUAUGUCGGAGGCAGAUAUGAAGAAUAACAAUCACAGAGAUAUCUACCAAAUUAGUCUUUUUGUGAUGUCCUAUUUUGUACUUUAAUUGAAUAAUUAUAUUCAUUGAAAGUUUUUAUUAUUAUAUUUGAAUAAAUUUUUUUUUGGAAUUAUGUUAGAUGUCGCACAAAAAAAAAAAAGUGUCGUGCCUCAAUCCGAAUUAACUCAUUUACACGUAUAAUAAAUAAUAUAAUUAAUCAUUUGUAUUGAUCCUACUAUUUUGUAUCAGUAGUCAAGAAAUUCUUGCUGACUAAAUUAAUUAGCAUAAUUUAAUCGAGUUGAUUAAUGUCUGACGAGUUAACACAGUAUAUAGUUUAAGGAAAUUACAAAUUUUAAAUUAAAAAAAUUAUCAGAUAAUUUAAAAGAUGUUAACUAACUUAGCUGGAGAACAACUUGACCGUUUAUUUUAAAGUCUUAAUCUAUAAUUCGAUAUUUGUGUAUUUAUUUUUUAUUAAAAUAAAUUAAAUAAAAAAUAUAUAAUACUAUGUUAUAAAUAAAUAAAAAAAGUAUACAAGGAUGGUUUGGAGCACCGCCUCACCAACCCAUUCAAGAGUGGCACACGCGUCCCACGCAAAUAUGCAUUCUUCUAACCACCAAUAUCUAUAAGAAUACUGGGAACGAUUUCCUUUCGAUUGCCUAUUUGUAACGCGCAUCAUCGUCCGUCCAAAAGGAACUCGAUGAUGUCGCAUAAUUGUACCGACACAUUAUAUCACUGAUGCGUCGGAUGGGACCCAUCUCCAUCAAAUGCCAUCACCAAUCAGAGCUACUUUUACGUGGGGCCCAUCUCUAUUGAAUGAGCGGAUACUCGACGAGGAGAGAGAAAGCGGAUUCGAUUCGGUAUUGGAUCUCGGGUCCAAACCCAUUAAGAAAAUUCCCAUCGACAUAUAUCACUCGAUAUCUGUAUAAUAAGUAAUAUUUGUUUCUAUUGAUUUAUUUAAAUAAACCACACAGCCGGACACAUCAUUCAAGUCCUCUACCGUGGGCUAAUGAUCAAAUUUGACCUCUUUAACCGGUAUAUUAUCAAGAUUUAAACCUUUAUGGAUCAAAUAUAAAUCUGUAUUCAUUCAAUUAGCUAAACCUAAUGGGAAUUUUGAAGGUCUCGUGACUACCUCUGUCUAAUUGAGGUUAAUGCUUUUAGUACAUGAGACUCUCGGUAAUACAGGAGGAUUAAUUUACAUUUUCCCUUUUAUAAACACAGAAAAAUGAUAUCCAUGACAUGAAUUAUGAUUAUAUAAGUCAUGAAGGAACAAUCAAUCACCUUCUGAGAAUAAGAAGAACAAUAGACUGGACUACAAAUUUCACAAAAUCUAAUAUUGUAUUCGAUUAACUAUUAAGGUGUCCGAAUUUAAAUAUGACCAUAAUACUUAUUUUUUUAUCUUAAUCUAUCGGGAAGCAAUGAUUCGAUCUUGAUUAAGCAAAUGGAGUAAAUCUAAAUAUCAAAAAAUGAAGCUGAGAUUUUAGAUAUACUAUCAUAAAAUAAAUGUUUUAGCCGUGUGUUAUGUUUGCAUGUUAAUUUAGAUAAAAUAUAAGUCAUAAAAUACCUCAAAUGCUUUUGAUAUUUUUAUUAUCAUAGAAAUUAUUAUCAUAAAAUACCUCAACUAUAUUUGAAGUUAUAUAUAUAUAUAUACACACAUAAAACCAAAAAAUAAUUAAGAAAAAUACAUGAAUCACCGACUUCGGAGGGGUAUGUAUGCAAUUUUGCCUUGCAUUUUGCUUUAUGUGAAUAGCGAAACGUCAGCUACGGAAGGCCACUUUCUUAUUGGUAGAUUAAUUUUGUGGGCCCACAAGAUACGAUAUGCGAUGCCGCUGUUUUGUCGACCGUGAACUGGUUAGUACAGGCGAUCCCAUAAGCCCAAGCUUUCUGCACGGUUCGUGCACUGUGUUUGGUGCCUUCCGACGCGAGCCAAGCGCCGGUUUCCUAUCUCUCUCUUCAUCACUUUAUCUUCCUCCACCGAAAGACCUUUGGUGCUUCUCUACGCCCUCCUUUCCCUUUCCCCCCAUUACUAUGUAGAUCCCCUCCGAAUCGAAUCCGUCGUUUCUCGGAUCGUGUCGUUAGAGAGAAGGCGAGGCCGCGAAGCGAACAGGUUGCGUGCAAGCAAAGGAGGGGAGCCAUGGUUGUGCUACGGCGGGUGGGGAAGUACGAGGUGGGGCGGACGAUCGGAGAGGGCACCUUCGCCAAGGUCAAGUUCGCGCAGAACACGGAGACCGGCGAGAGCGUCGCCAUGAAGGUGCUUGACCGUGCCACCAUCAUCAAGCACAACAUGGUCGACCAGGUCUCUCCCUCCUCUUCGGUUGUUCUCUUACGAGGAGAAAAGAUGAUGGAUCUUUGGAAUCGAUCUGCUCUAUCGUAAUCGCCUAAGGUGCUUUCUUUUCACUGUUCCGUGCAGAUUAAGAGGGAGAUUUCUAUAAUGAAGCUGGUGAGGCAUCCUUAUGUCGUUCGCCUCCACGAGGUAUGACUUCGAUUUCUCGAUCAAUUUCUUACAUAUGUUUCGUCCCUAUCUCUGUUUUCUGCAAUUUUCUUUUCGUACCUCCUGAAAAGUGACCAUGAUUCUGUCGCAUGUAGGUGUUGGCAAGCCGGACCAAGAUAUAUAUAAUCCUUGAAUUUAUUACCGGCGGCGAAUUGUUUGAUAAGAUUGUAAGGCCUCAAAGUUGCAAACUGCUUUACGAAGUUCUACUAAUUCCGAAAUCUAUACACCAGUUUCUGCUGUAGCUUUUGAGCUUCCAUUUUACUUUGAAUGAAUAUUUAAUUUGUAGACUUUUUUUUGCUUGCACAAUUUAUUAUACAGUGAUAUUUUAUCUAUGUCAACCCUAUAUAAUUGGGACUUAAUAUCUUGCACUAUUUUUUUUUUUGUUUUGUAUGAUUCAGUUGAUUUUUACUUAGUAUGCAUACACUAUUCUUUUGGUGACAAGUCAGAUAUCUGCAGAUUCAUCAUGGAAAACUUAGUGAAGCUGAGUCACGUAGAUAUUUCCAGCAACUUAUUGAUGGGGUGCAGUAUUGCCACAGCAAGGGCGUCUAUCAUCGAGAUUUGAAGGUGUUAAACUGCUGGAUUUACAGAAGAAUGUUGUGAAAGUUCUCUUGCAUGAAAUUCUUAAAGUUGCCUAAUUUCAUAUGCAGCCUGAAAACCUCCUCCUAGAUUCGCAAGGAAAUCUUAAAAUUUCAGAUUUUGGUCUCAGUGCCAUGCCUGUGCAGGUACGUUCUUUUGAGAUUCCUUCUCGGAAGUGAUUACCAAAUUAAAUUUCUUAUGCCUUUUUUCUUAAUCUCUGUUCAGGGAGUUAGCCUUCUCCGCACUACUUGUGGAACUCCUAAUUAUGUUGCCCCAGAGGUAUGAUUGUGAAUAUUUGUCUUAGCCAUCUUUAAAUUAGGUUUAGUUGGCAUUCCUUGAUUAUAUCCAGUCAGUUACCUUUAAGUUAGGUUAUUUUUAUUAAUUCGGGUUACAUGGAGCUAGCAGUUACUUGUAUCUAACCUACUUGUUAUUUCAUGAAGUGAUAUUGUACAAGAUAUGAUAUAGCUAAUAGCAAUGUGCCAUGUUUUAUUUGAUAACCUUGAUGUUGGAUUAAUCUAAGGUUUAAAUAUAUUCAUUGUUGGACUGGUAGCUUAUAUACAAAAGCAGAAGAUGUUAAAAUCCAUGGAACAUGGAACUUUAAAUUUGAGCAAGAGAAAGCAUUAUCAAGAAAUAAAAAAUUAUUUAGGAUGAAAAACAGGUAAAAGAGUGUAAUAAAAUUAUCAUUCAGAUUACCAGAUUAUUAGUGAAUUUGGACUAAUUUUAUGCAUCGAGGAAAAAGCAGAAACAAACUUGAAUUUAUAAAUUUCAUCAGCCAUGGAAAUCUUUAGAUAUCAACUGAUGUGGCAUGAAGGGAAAACAUCCUGUCUAUAUAAACAUAUUUGACCUUGGUUGGAUAUUUCGUAGGCUCUCUGAAUCUCCCAACUCUCUGCUGGGAAAGGCAAAUGUCCUUCACUUUAAAUUGUUUAAUUCUCUAUGAUAUAUACAAGAUAUUUCACCUGCUCGACAUGUAAGGAAGAUAAUCCUGCAAUCUUGUUUGCAGCCUGACCUAAAAUGGGUUGCAGGUAAUCUUAUACGCACGAGGAGCAGCUCGGCAGUUUAUUCUGACUGCAAAAUGUUAGGGCUUGAUGUUCAGCAGGAACUGAGUCAACUGACAGAAAUGCUAAUACUCCUUACAGAAUAUGGUAUCUAUUAGUUGGGUUGUACUACAGAGACAAUCCUCUAGAAUUUCUAUGCUAUUGCCAUGGAAGAUGAUAAUCAAGCGAACCUGCUAAUCUUAUGUGUCCAACUAUCAAUAAUCACAUUUAAGUGGGUUAGGUCAAGUAAUUCUGUGCAUGUAUGAAGCGGCCUAUAAUCUAUCUAUUCCCUGGACAACUAGCCGAUGUCCCAGGUAACAGAAACAUAGAGGAAGGAGUGGAACAUAAUGAGAGAAAAGCAUUUUAAAGAAAACACUGAUUUAUUAGAGGAAAUGAAGGCAUUCACAUGAUGAUGAGAUAUGUGUCUUCAAGAGUUUGUCCUUGUGAAGCAAGGCAAUUGGUUCAUCAGACCAUGCAUGUUGGAGGGAUAGUAUGAUAAACUUAUAUGCCUGCCCUCUAUCGAUCCUUCAUCAUUGACAUCCUACAAAAUUAAGCUGGUAAAAGGGCAUUAUGUGCCCUGUGGUCACAGUCAAAUAUAUAUACAAUUGUUAUCUUGAGGACUACUUCAGUAAUGGAUUGAUGCCACAGGAAUGGGCUUGGUUUGACUUGUUUAUGUACUUGCUCCAAAGCUGGUGAUGACAUUAAUCUGCCUUGGUGAUUCCCUAGGUGUCAGCUUGUUUGCACAACAUUAGCUUCUGUCCACUGUAUGACCAUCUAGGAUCCCAAGAGUGCCUAGGUGAUCACCUAAGCGCCCAGACUUUUAUUUGCAUACCUUGUUGUAUCAAUAGCAAAAGUUAAAAAAAUUAUAUUUGCUAUGUUCCAAAAUAUUAAAAUUAGAUCAAAGAAUUUGUUUAUUGAUGACUUUGAUGGAUUAUUGGAUGUUCCAACAACAUCCACUGAUCCAUGAAUGAUACCUUGAAAACUUAUUGAAAGUUAUGACUUAAUAAACUUAAAAAGUCUACAGAUGCUGUCAUUCCAUGUUAUUUUGGGUUUCUCAUGGCUUCCUGUUUGUUCUUUUCAAUUGCAACUCAUAAACGAUGAUUCCACUUUUGGCAUAAUUUGUGUCAAUAUACCAUUCAUAUUAUAGCUGUUCCCAAUAACCUUCUCAACCUCAAUUUUUUUAGAAUUUUACAUGUUUUCAUUGAUAUAUCUGGUAUUUUUUUUAAUUACAUGUUCAUGACUUCUUUUUGAUCUCUUGCUAGUUAUGUAGCACUGAUGUCUAAUAAUUCCAUGAAUGAACAUUGUGCAUCAGGUACUCAGUCAUAAGGGCUAUAAUGGUGCCAUUGCUGAUAUCUGGUCAUGUGGGGUCAUUCUUUAUGUUUUAUUGGCAGGAUAUCUUCCAUUUGAUGAAGUUGAUUUGACUACUCUUUAUAGCAAGGUAUGCAAGUUUUCUUUAGCUAUUUUUACAUACAGCGUGGUUUGAUUUGUUUAGGAAACCUUCUUGUUGGGUUCUUAAUUGAUUAAGUUCUAUAAUUCCUUCGUUUUAGAGGAGGUCUAGAAUCAUGUACUUUAGUUUUAAAUUAUUUGUUCUUGUUUGGAUGCUUAUUUGUAACUUAUUCCAUAGCAUGAUGUUCACAUCUUUGAAGUGAAAAAAAAAAAAAUCUAAUAAGUGGCUUGAACUUUGCUUCGUUUUCCUUUUUUGUUUUCUUUGUUUUACAAUUGUGACCUUGUUCCCUGAAUUUAAUCUUACGUGAUUUCAUGUACUAUACACACGCAGUCGUCAUCUUAGGAACCUUGUCUUCUUGUGUUUUCCGAUGUUUCACUGGCUUGUAUGUGAGGAGUCUGAUUUCUGGACUGAUUUUUGACAUUGAUGUUAACAGUGACAAUCUUAUUAUGUGACUCACAUAUUUGGAGUAUGCAAAGCAUUACAUACUGUCAGUGCAAUUUUUAUUUAUUCUAUAUAGUCUUUUGGGCCAAUUUGUGCUGUCUGUGUCAUGCUAUUUGUGAGCAAUAUAUUCCUGGCAUACCAAGUGGGUAUGCUUAAACCAGGUGUGUCAUGUUCUGUAUCUCAGCAAUUCUUGUUCUGUUUUUUUAAAAAUAAAGGAAUAUGAAAACUAGUGUAAGGUUGAAAAGUUAUAUGAACUAAAGUAAUUUACCUUGACAAGCAGUGCCUUCAAUAUGAUUUUCAAAAGCCAUGUGAAUGCGGUUGCAACUCUGGGUCUGAUCAUGCCUUGUGGUGAACUUUCACAACCAGCAUCAUCUUUGAGCAAAAAUAGCAUUAUAAUAUUAAUAGUACACUGAAAUCUGUGGGUUGCUUUAACACAUAUUUGAUAUAUUGAUACGCCAAGCCUGUAUGUCAGAAAAUCGCAACAAAAUAUGACACAAACAUGACUGGCCAAAUGACGCGGCAUUUUUUUUUUUGUAUAAUGCUUUUAACACGAGUUACUUCCUUCAUAUUCUUUCUAGUUGAUCUAUUGAUCACCUAACGCAUAUGUACUUGGUUUGUUCAACAAUUAGUGUUCCGAGCUAUGCUACUGAAUGUUUAGAAUUUUGUUAAAAUAUGGCAACUGUGAUGCAAACAUAGUUUAACAGAUGACAACUUAGAAAGAAGGGAUCAAAUAUCAUGUGCCAGCCUGCCAGGUAUCAACAGGCAUGGUAGAAUACCAUGUGUGAUCCAUGUAUUGUGCCUGUUUUCGACAGGCUAGGUUAUAUG
rnacentral:lncRNA from 1 species